UACGGAGGAUCCAAGCGUUAUCCGGAUUUAUUGGGUUUAAAGGGUGCGUAGGUGGUUUUUUAAGUCAGGGGUGAAAGACGGCAGCUUAACUGUCGCAGUGCCUUUGAUACUGAAGAACUUGAAUAAACUAGAGGUAGGCGGAAUGUGACAAGUAGCGGUGAAAUGCAUAGAUAUGUCACAGAACACCAAUUGCGAAGGCAGCUUACUAUGGUUUUAUUGACACUGAGGCACGAAAGCGUGGGGAUCAAACAGG
rnacentral:rRNA from 2 species